UUGGGCUGGAGUUUUUUCUGUACUGAUUUCAUCCUUAAGACACCAGCAGUUUGAUGCAUGAGUAUUUCUGUCUUAUAAAAACAACAAUGGCAACAUAAUUUACUGAGCUCCUAUCAUGUGCUAGCAUUGUUCUAAAUUCUUCAAAUGCGUAAUCCGAUUUAAUUAAUCUUAAUAGGCGGAGGCAAGGGGAAAAGGGGUUAACGUCUUUCAGAAGGACAUCUAAUAUAUUUUCCGGCAAAUUUUUUCUAUUGGCAGAGGCAAACUGUGAUUCUAAGUAUGACACAGAGUCCUGAGAUGCAAUGAAGACAAUCUCCAUCAAUUCUCUCCUCAUAUCUUUUUCUAGACCCCUCAAUCCCCAGUCGACUUCUCUGUGCGAGGUCCAAGGGUCAGUGUCAGUGUAAGCGAUGAGAGUGGAGAAUGUGAGAGUCCUAAAUGUGGGCCUGCAGUAAAGGGAGAUGUGUUCCCAUCAUUCCAUGAGAAACUCUGAAGGAAGAUUCCUUGGGAGCACUGGCACACUUGGAGAUACUGUGCUAUUGGAGAGAAGAUUAUAUUGAAUGGAGUGUUCCUAAUGUCUGUAGUGAUGGAAUUCCAGACACACAAGUUAGUGAUCAGCUUUGUCUGUCUUCCUGUAGAUCUACUGUGCAUGAGUCCAAAUUUGAGGUACAGGAAACACAGGAGUCAACCAAACAGGCCAAGUCCCUGCUUUCAUGGAGACUAC